UGGGGAAUUUUGGACAAUGGGCGAAAGCCUGAUCCAGCAAUGCCGCGUGAGUGAAGAAGGCCUUCGGGUUGUAAAGCUCUUUUGUCAGGGAAGAAACGGUGAGAGCUAAUAUCUCUUGCUAAUGACGGUACCUGAAGAAUAAGCACCGGCUAACUACGUGCCAGCAGCCGCGGUAAUACGUAGGGUGCAAGCGUUAAUCGGAAUUACUGGGCGUAAAGCGUGCGCAGGCGGUUUUGUAAGUCUGAUGUGAAAUCCCCGGGCUCAACCUGGGAAUUGCAUUGGAGACUGCAAGGCUAGAAUCUGGCAGAGGGGGGUAGAAUUCCACGUGUAGCAGUGAAAUGCGUAGAUAUGUGGAGGAACACCGAUGGCGAAGGCAGCCCCCUGGGUCAAGAUUGACGCUCGUGCACGAAAGCGUGGGGAGCAAACAGGAUUAGAUACCCGCGUAGUCCCUGAGCGGGCUGGCAAGGCGCAU
rnacentral:rRNA from 1 species